UAAAAGACAUAUACAAUAGUUUCAAGGUUGGAAAUAUAGAAACUCUCUUGUGCAUCUCCCUACCAGGAGGUGUGUCUUAUACACAUGGAGCAAUAUAAGAAGUGGCUCACAUCUCACUGAAAGAAGACUGGAAUUAGUGGUUUGCAACCAUGGUUGAUUAGAGAGUUGGCCUCUUAAUCUCUAUUGUUCACUGACCAAAACUCAUCUUA
rnacentral:lncRNA from 1 species